AUUUCAGGCUUCGGACCGGGUCCGGGCGGGGCGGGGAGAGGAGCGUGGUUAUCCCGGGGCGGGGCCUCUCCCCCUUGCUAUAAUUCCCCAGAGUUGUAGUUGGGACUGGCUGUGGGCUAUAUGCUGCGGGGAGCAGCUUGGGGGUUGGGGGAGGGCAGAAGUCACGGCCCGGCUCGUGGCCCCCAGUCGUUGGGGAGAGCCUGAGUGGAGGCAGCAGAGGAAAAUAAGCCACCAGCAUGAACUGCCUGGCCUAGAGAGGCGGCGUGUCCCUGGGGCUCGGCCGGCCAGUCCGGAGCCUUAUGGGUGACUGCAGUGGCUGCUGCUGCUGCUGCAGCGGUGACCAUGAUCCGGACCUACCAACUGCGGGUGGGCGUGACCUAGGAACAGCCUGCGCCACUGAGCCAGGACACCUGAAACGCAACCUGCGCCAGGCGUAGAGACUGGGCUGCUCCGUUUUUGGGGGGAUGCUCAAGUUUGCUGCUAUCGAUUAGUGCUUCUCAUAGAGGACUACACGACUUGAGGACGGCGGGGAUCCCCUGGAUGGAGUCUUGGAGAAAACCCACAGAGAGUGGGCAUGAUCUGGAUGAAGAUGCAGCCAUGGCUGAGCAGGCGAGAUGGCUCAGUGGAUUGAGAGCCAGACCUGGAGAUGGGAGGACCUAGGUUCAAAUUUGACCUCCAGUACUUCCUAGUUGUGUGACCCUGGUCAAGUCGCUGAAACCCAAUUACCUAGCCCUUGCUACUCAUCAGUCUUAAAAUUAAUACUAAGAAGAUGAGGCAACUGAGGCAAGAAGAGCUAGUACUGGUCAGAGGCAGGAUAUGACCUCAUCUUCUAGACUUCCAUCUCCCAAGUUUUGUCAACAACAUGAUACAAGGAAUAAUGGAAGUAAUUUAUAAUGGUUUCUUUUGGAUACCUUAUUUGAUUUUCAACAUGAUUCUGGAUUGGUGUUAUAUGUUAUAUGUUACUGGAGUGGACUGUAUUAAAGCCUUUUAUAGACUUGACUAUGUGUAGAGUAUGCUCAUAUUUUCCUGUAAUAUGUGUGGCAAUUGUAUAUAAAUGUAAGUGGAUAAUUAAAAUGACUGUAUAAGAUCAAAGCUGUUAUUAAGUGGAUGCUUAGAGAUUCAGAGUUAAAGCAAAUGAAAUAAAGAUUCAAUUACAAAUAGA